rnacentral:lncRNA from 1 species
GUUGCAGGCAGGCUGCUACUGUGAUCUCUGAGCGAAGUAAAGGAACCGGAGCAGAGAGGGACACAAGCAAACAGCAGCAAGGGAGGAAUCACUAAUAUUUCAAACACAGCAAAGCUCGAUGUCUAAAUAUAGGAACUGAUUGAAAUCUGAGAAGACUAUUAUGAGAAAAUUACAAAUAUGCAAGGAUUUGAAUCUUCUGGCUGGAUGCUGUGGGACGUUUGUUAGACUUCUCAUCAAUAGACAUCUCAAG